CCGCGCGUGUUUGAUCCUGUUUGUGUGGCGCAGUUGAAAUCAAAAAUUCUCAAGUCGAAUCGCGUGUGCUCGUGAAGGAACAACAUCCGGCGUUCGGAACAAAUACACCGGGUGACCGAAUCGGAACGGCUCUGGGAUGGCGGAAUUUUCGCAUAUUUGGGGACUUCUUCUACCAGGCCCGGCGCCUGCUGCGGACACUUCCGGCCGGAUUUGUUCAGGAUGGUCGUUUCGUCUGGAGGCGAAAAUCGUUAGGGGCCUAUUCCACUGAGGAUUGUGCUUCAUAAAUACGCGAGAGUUCAUCCCAAGUACGAAGCAGUAGUUCUGGCACCGGCUACAAACAUUUCGAACAACGUCAGAAAGUUCGGAUUGAAGCAGAAUAUUAAAAGAAAACGACGCGGAAAAAAAGUACUAUUUUUUUUAAAUC